rnacentral:rRNA from 1 species
AUUGAACGCUGGCGGUAGGCCUAACACAUGCAAGUCGAACGGCAGCACAGUAAGAGCUUGCUCUUACGGGUGGCGAGUGGCGGACGGGUGAGGAAUACAUCGGAAUCUACUUUUUCGUGGGGGAUAACGUAGGGAAACUUACGCUAAUACCGCAUACUACCUACGGGUGAAAGCAUGGGAUCUUCGGACCUUGCGCGAUUGAAUGAGCCGAUGUCGGAUUAGCUAGUUGGCGGGGUAAAGGCCCACCAAGGCGACGAUCCGUAGCUGGUCUGAGAGGAUGAUCAGCCACACUGGAACUGAGACACGGUCCAGACUCCUACGGGAGGCAGCAGUGGGGAAUAUUGGACAAUGGGCGCAAGCCUGAUCCAGCCAUACCGCGUGGGUGAAGAAGGCCUUCGGGUUGUAAAGCCCUUUUGUUGGGAAAGAAAAGCAGCAGGUUAAUACCCCGCUGUUCUGACGGUACCCAAAGAAUAAGCACCGGCUAACUUCGUG